rnacentral:sRNA from 1 species
CAGAAUUCACCAAGUGUUGG